GAUGAGAUGUGAAGCCAUAAAAACCUAAAUCCACCUCGACAGAAUUCUUGCAUGCCGCCGAAUGUUCAGGCAGAUGGUAUGACUGACUACGACCAGUGUUUUAUCCAUCGGGCGUUUGACGGUCGGCGAAGUUACAAAAAUGUGUAAAAUGUCGAAAGGAAGUUUCGCGCACCCCUGUCACCACGGGCGAGAGAAGGGAAGCCCGAUAGAACAACACACCCGGAAGCAGCUCCACUGGCUCGGGACAGGUGGGAUUUCAAUCCGUCGAUGAUGGUGGCUGGACGCGCAAAGCGAUGAUGUGAAAGUUGCAUUUUCACGUAUCGGAUGGUGGGAAGAUUUGUGCGGCCCUUGCGAGUUUCAGCUAACGCUUCUUUGACGGAGCCUGUCUGAUCUGCAGCUGAGCCUCCCUGUCUGCCUCACCAUGCCACUGGUGGUGGAUGCCGUGUGGGCGCUGUGGAGCAUCGGAGCUGGCAUCUAUGACUACUUCCACACCAGCGCCAUGGAGGAGAGGAUCCACACACUGGAAAACGUCCUCUCUAUCCACCAGUUUGUGAUCGCAGCCCUGUCGGCAGGUCUCAUCCUGCUCAUGACAUAUAUACUAUGGAGAAAACACUAAAACCUUCAUCCACUGAAUGUUGUUUUGUCGCAGGAUAUCUUUCAUUACCCGGGCCCGUUUUCCAUCCAGAUGUUGGCCAGAGGGACAGUCUGGCUCAUACAGAUGCUCACCUUUGAAGAUCAAGCAUGUUCAGUAACGAUUGGGAUGUCCCAAAUGAGGUCAGGAGCACUGAUGGGCAACUAAACCGAGCAAAGAAGCUCCAUAAGGACAUGAAGUCUCUGAAAACUAGUCGAUGCCCUUUGGGUAGUUGGAGCUUUGUCUGUCUUUCUGUCUGUCUUUCUGUCUGUCUUUCUGUCUGACUGACUGACUGACUGACUGACAGAUGGACCAUUGUCCACAUUAACCCAAAAUCAUAACUGCUUCUCAAGGCAACUUUGCACUUUGACUUUUUUGCCCAAGCUUGAAGGAUUUGAUGUUGAUUUAAAAAAAACAAAACAAAAAAAAAACACAACCCUCUGAGAUGAUGCGCUUACUUUAAACACCUUCGCAGUGUGUGCUGAGGGGUGAAGGUGUUCGGUCAUUGUUGGUGACGACGGCUGUCUCUGAAAAGCGGAGAUGCUUGGGAAUUUAAAUCCUUUGAUGUGUUACAGAACUGAAGUGCGAUUGGUUGAUACUAAAUUUAUUAACCCUGUUUUCACAAGAUCACAAUGUAAUUACCUCGUGUUUCCAAGUUAAUCGUGUUCUUUUUUGAGUAUAAUAUCAGUUUUAUGCAGUGCUUAUUCAUUUCUCUAAGGCCAUUAAGCUGACGGAAUGAUCUGAUUAUCUUGACAUAAUUUAGAUUGGCAUCACAACUUAAUUAUCUGAAUCCUGAGCUAACAAAUGCUGUUCAUAACGUAGCGUUCUCCUCUGUAAUUUCUGCUUUGGUCUCUUCUCAGAUGCCUCAUUCUCGCAAAGCAAGAGGAACAAACCGUUGCUGAAACCCACGUUAGAUAGACUGUAAAGCAGAUAAAUCCAUUAUCAUGAAAAAUAUUUGGCCCCCCGAUGAAAGCUGAUGUUUUCACUUUUCAGUUUACAUCAAAACCUUUACAUGAUUCUUCAUAAAGGUUCAUAAAGUUUCAACAUAAACUCAACAUGACCUCAUAACAUGUAAUAAUUAUCAAUGCCUCCACGCCCCCAAAUUAAUUCUAAGAAACUUGCGAGAUAAAUAACAGAUAACAGAUCAAUAAUGUAAUUUUGCCUAUUGGAUCAGAACAGAUUCGCAGUUUCAUUCAACCACAGAUGAGGCAGACACUGUUUAAAGUGUGUGAAAUUACACCUCUAGUCUUUUAGUACAACUCAGAACAUACUGUGUAUUCAUGUUUACAAGUCUUUUUUUUUUUUUGCAGACAACUCUGCAAGAACGAACUUACUAAAGGGAAUUGUGACAUCUGCCCCGGGACACACUCCUAAAACUGUUUUAUGACUCAGUUUUAUUCUUGCGAGGGUUAAAAAAAACGAAGCAAGUAAAACAUAUGGAAAACAUACAGGCCUGUGUUUUCACCAACCUGUACAUCAAACAGGACCCUGGUUGAUCCUAUUUGCUGAGUACUGUCUUAGGAUAAUGAGCUUUAAAACAAAUCAUGAUGAUAGAGUUGUGAUCUUGAGAGAGCAGGCCCAAAAAAAAAGUCUCGGCAAUGAAACACACUCUCUGCUUUCAUAGUUAGUCACUUUCUGUGAGGGGACCGUUUCCCACCAAAUACUUUAUCCAAGAGUAUGAUAGUCCUUUGUCAGACUGGGGGUGGUUCGUAAAAUUUGAGACAAAUGCCUUCGGCUUCUGUGGUUUGUAAUUAUCCUCGUUCUGAGUGGCAGAACUAGAAAAACAGGAUAAGCACAAAAAACACUGCUAAGAGGUUCAAACACUGGGUAAUUAAUUCAUCUGUCACGUGACUUAUUGUCAGUUUUUUCAUGCUGAGGAGAAAGGAUUGGAGAUGUGGGAUGUUAGAGGUUAGUCUUUAUUUAGUGUUGUCUACUGUGUUUUGGAAAGGGUGUGUUUGUGUGUGUGUGUGUGUGUGAUACAUUUCAUUUCUAAUGAAAUGUAUCUGUCACGUUUUCUCUGCUGCACCUGCUCACUUACUGUGUGCUCUACUGUAUGUUACUCUGACAAACUACUACCAUGGCUUCGACUAAAGGGAAUAUGUUUGAAUAAUAAGUCAGAGCUGUUCUUUUUCCCACUUGUUUCGUGUUUUAAUUACAACCUUUUUGUUCCCUGUCAUGGUUAACGAUAAUUUAAUUUCAAAUAAUUUAAAUAAUGUUAAUAAUAAUUUUGUUGUUGUUUUUUUAAACUCGUAAACAAGUCAUUUUAAAUCUGGAUAUGUGCCUCCAUCGUGUGUUUUUGGGUUCAUUUUAUGUAAAAUAGGAUGAAACCAAAAAGGAAGGAAAAAAAUCCAUAUGCUCGGAGGCCACGGUCUUGUGCAGCAUCAUGAGACAAGAAAUGUAAUUGAAAAUAAAUCAACAUAAACAGAGAUUACACAUCUUAUCAGAUGAUAGGCUAUGAAAGAAUCUAUAUAGUUACAAGGUUCCCCUUCUACAAAAUUCCACACUUACAAUCAAAAAUCAAAACUGGAUAGAGCCAUACUGUCAGUGAUUUCCGUGGACUCUGUUGACUGGUUAGUUAUUGUUGCGGCUCGGUAACACAGUGGAAAUAUCACCACUGUGUGAGUUCAGCUACCGUGUGCUCAUGAGCUAUUUUCGUCCACGUUAUGUUUCGGGGUCAGUGGUUUAGUCAUGCGCAGGCAAUAAUUAUUGAUAUAAUAAUUUUUAUUAUUUAGAGUGCAUUUCUCUCAAAUUAUGGAAAGAUAUUUGGGCCACCUCUAAUGAUUUAAAAAAAAAAAAAAAAACGGUUAAUAACAAAUGAACACAACAAAAUAUAUAUAUAAAAACAAUUUUUUAACAUUGGAUGUGAUGAUACAUUUGAUACUGGCACGAAUUCCGCUUCACAGAACUGAUACUCUUUAAUUUUGAAAACAAAAAAAUCAGUGUAAUCAAUCAAUCAAUCAGUGGCUAUAGACACUUCUGUUUGACCCUCAUUUUUAACUGGUGGGUGUCUCAAAAUUGCCACGUUUUUUUUUUUUUUUUAAUUUAAAUUUUUUUUUGUGAUGGUGUGCGUCGUCGGGGAAAAGGAAAAAUCAGAGGAAAACCAUAUCAUACGCGACUUAUCCUGGUCUUAUUCAAAAUGUUUUUCAUAAACAGCAUCAUAAUCAGUGAGGCAUAUCCAUCAGUGGCGGAAGAAGUACUCAGGUCUUCAAGCAAAAGUCCUAAUUCCAAGAUGUUACUUAAGUAGAACUAUUAUCUGCUGAAUUCACUCAAAGUAUUAGAACUACUGGGCUGGGGUGUAGCCCCGUACAUACGCAGCCUCAGCGGUCCCCGUCCCACUUUCUAUGCAGUCAUCGUCACACCUGUACAAAUAACUGAAUCAACAAGUAAACACAUCUGUAGUGGUUAUUAACGUCAUCAGUAAUGAAGUGCUCAUUAUGCAGUUUUGAACAUACUGUAAUCACUGUGUGAAGCUUUCACUGUGGAGACCAUUAUAAAGCACGUCAUGGUUUUUAGGCCUUUGUUGUACGUUGGGCAUGAGACAAAGGAUGGAAAGUGAUCUUAUUUCAGGCCCCUACACGGAGAAAGGAUUUCUGUAUUUCCUGAUGGAAAAACAGAUGAAUGAGGAGAAUUAUUUUUUUAUUUAAAAAAUAAAAAGCCCAAUUCAAAUACAUGUAAAGAGAAAAAGGUAGCUCCAGGAUUAGACCCCGCUACAAGCUCGAGCUGGUGUGAUGUGAAGUAAUAACUAUGUUGUGAGUUUUUUUCUGAUGCUGCUGAUACUUUAUUCUCAUCAGUUACAAUAUUAAAACUGUUAAAAACACUGUAGUAAACUAACUGUAUUUCGAAAGUCAUUCGUUGAGGAACAUUUUACAUUACAAGCAUUUAUAAAUGUGUCGUAUAAUACUUUAGAUUCACAAUAAAACGGACUACUUGAUG